rnacentral:pre_miRNA from 1 species
AAAAAGACAAACUCUAGGUUUCCGUGUCUAACGUUUGACUAUCUGUCUUAUAUGAAAUUUUUUAUAAUUAGUAUUUUCAUUGUUAUAAAAUAUGAUUAAUACUUUAUGUGUGACUUGUCUUUUUAAUUUUUAUCAUAAUUUUUUUAAAUAAGAUGGACGGUCAAACGUUGGACACGGAAACCUAGGGUU